GGCGGACGGGUGAGUAACGCGUAGGAAUCUACCUAGUAGAAGGGGAUAGCCCGGGGAAACUCGGAUUAAUACCGUAUACCUCCUUCGGGAGAAAGAAGGCCUCUCUUUGAAGCUUUCGCUACUAGAUGAGCCUGCGUAAGAUUAGCUUGUUGGUGAGGUAAAGGCUCACCAAGGCGACGAUCUUUAGCGGGUCUGAGAGGACGAUCCGCCACAUUGGGACUGAGACACGGCCCAGACUCCUACGGGAGGCAGCAGUGGGGAAUAUUGGACAAUGGGCGCAAGCCUGAUCCAGCCAUACCGCGUGUGUGAAGAAGGCCCUAGGGUUGUAAAGCACUUUAAGUUGGGAAGAAAAGUUAUUGGUUAAUACCCAAUGACCGUGACAUUACCAUCAGAAUAAGGACCGGCUAAUUCCGUGCUAGCAGCCGCGGUAAUACGGAAGGUCCAAGCGUUAAUCGGAAUUACUGGGCGUAAAGCGCGC
rnacentral:rRNA from 1 species